UGUCUAUCUAAGUACUACAGAUCGCCUUAGAGUUUGAUCCUGGCUCAGAUUGAACGCUGGCGGCAUGCCUUACACAUGCAAGUCGAACGGCAGCACGGACUUCGGUCGGGCGGCGAGCGGCGAACGGGUGAGUAACACAUCGGAACGUACCCUGUCGUGGGGGAUAACUAUCCGAAAGGAUAGCUAAUACCGCAUACGACCUGAGGGUGAAAGCGGGGGACCGGUAACGGCCUCGCGCGAUAGGAGCGGCCGAUGUUCGAUUAGCUAGUUGGUAGGGUAAAGGCCUACCAAGGCGACGAUCGAUAGCUGGUCUGAGAGGACGACCAGCCACACUGGGACUGAGACACGGCCCAGACUCCUACGGGAGGCAGCAGUGGGGAAUUUUUGACAAUGGGCGCAAGCCUGAUCCAGCCAUUCCGCGUGAGUGAAGAAGGCCUUCGGGUUGUAAAGCUCUUUCGGCAGGAACGAAACGGUGGCGGCUAAUAUCCGCUGCUAAUGACGGUACCUGAAGAAGAAGCACCGGCUAACUACGUGUCAGCAGCCGCGGUAAUACGUAUGGUGCGAGCGUUAAUCGGAAUUACUGGGCGUAAAGCGUGCGCAGCGGUUUCGUAGACAGAUGUGAAAUCCCCCGGCUUAACCUCGGGACUGCGUUUGUGACUGCGAGAACUUGAGUGCGCAGAAGGGGGGUGGGAUUCCUCGGGUAGCAGUGAAAUGCGUAGAGAUGUGGAGGACACCAAUGCCAAGGAGCCCCCUGGGUCGACUGACCUCAUGCACGAAAGCCUGGGGAGGGAAACAGAUAAAUACCUGUUAGUCCCCGCCCCUCAACGAUGUCAACUACGUGUUGGGAGGAGAAGUCUUCUUUGUACUCACCUAACCCUGAAUGACGGCUCUGGGGAUCGGGCUCCAGGUGCUCACGAUUGUACGCGACGCCCCCACGCAGCGAGGGAUGGGAUGAAUC
rnacentral:rRNA from 1 species